CCUGCACUAGCAGGAUUGCUACAAAGAAGCAGCGGGCGUCGGCUCAAAGCCACGACGCAACCAGCAGAGGGUGGUCGGGCGCUGCACACCGGCGUGCCCCGACCUACCUGCCGCCGCCACGUCUGUCAUUCACGUUCCCCGCAUCGGCGUCGAACGACGUUUAUCGCAGUAACGGAAGUACAGAAACGGCGCGGCACGACGCGAUGCCAACGGCGGCAGACGGUCGGGCGCAGCACGCCGGCGAGCCCCGAGCCAUCUGUCGUCGCCUCUCGCCGCCCCAGCGGUGUCAACGUUGUCCGGUGAACAAUCGAAGCAAGUUCGACAAGUAAUAAAUUGCCCAGCAAGUGAAAACGAUUUUCAAUCCCAAUUCAAUGCUUAAUUCCAAAUUUUAAAUUUC
rnacentral:lncRNA from 1 species